rnacentral:rRNA from 1 species
GUGGGGAAUAUUGGACAAUGGGCGAAAGCCUGAUCCAGCCAUGCCGCGUGUGUGAAGAAGGUCUUCGGAUUGUAAAGCACUUUAAGUUGGGAGGAAGGGCAGUAAGUUAAUACCUUGCUGUUUUGACGUUACCGACAGAAUAAGCACCGGCUAACUUCGUGCCAGCAGCCGCGGUAAUACGAAGGGUGCAAGCGUUAAUCGGAAUUACUGGGCGUAAAGCGCGCGUAGGUGGUUUUGUAAGUUGGAGGUGAAAUCCCCGGGCUCAACCUGGGAACUGCCUCCAAAACUGCAUGACUAGAGUACGGUAGAGGGUAGGGGAAUUUCCUGUGUAGCGGUGAAAUGCGUAGAUAUAGGAAGGAACACCAGUGGCGAAGGCGACUACCUGGACUGAUACUGACACUGAGGUGCGAAAGCGUGGGGAGCAAACAGGAUUAGAUACCCGGGUAGUCC